UAGACCAAUGAUGACAACUGGUGGCAAAUGAGUCAUAUAUGAUGAAUGCUAUGUGUCUGGAACUCAGAUCUGA
ensembl:snoRNA